rnacentral:rRNA from 1 species
UACGUAGGUGACAAGCGUUGUCCGGAUUUACUGGGCGUAAAGAGCGCGCAGGCGGUCGAUCAAGUCGAGUGUGAAAGCCCCCGGCUCAACUGGGGAGGGUCAUUCGAUACUGAUCGACUCGAAGGCAGGAGAGGGUAGUGGAAUUCCUGGUGUAGCGGUGAAAUGCGUAGAUAUCAGGAGGAAUACCGGUGGCGAAAGCGACUCUCUGGACGGCAACUGACGCUGAGGCACGAAAGCGUGGGGAGCAAACAGG